rnacentral:tRNA from 1 species
GGGGAUGUACCCAAGGGGAUCAGGGAAAUAA